GUUGUUUUGGCAGAUUAGUGCAAUUGAUUUAGAAUCUUUAUAUGUAUAUUAUACAAAUAACA
rnacentral:tRNA from 1 species